rnacentral:lncRNA from 1 species
GUCUGGGGCUGCUGCUGUUGCACUUAGGCUGGGUCUCCGAGCCCCGGAGGAAGCAGGCGUGUGUUGAAUUUCUCUCUGCCCCUCACCUUGGAAUAAACAGGAAGCGACAAGCACCCAGCCCGGCCCGGCACUUGCCUUUGUGAAGGGGUCUGCCCUGCACAGCCUUUAGGAAGCUUCCUCGGGACCCCUUCCCGGUGCGCCGCCCCGGGUGGGCCUGGGGGCGCGCCCUCGGUUCAAGCUCUACGUUCGUGACAUCAAACCUCCUGUUGGGCCAUUUCCGAGAACUCCCAUCAGUUUCUGUAUAGUGUAAAAGGUAAGUGGAAUUACUUGUGACUGUUCUUUGUGAUGAUGUCUGGGAAGCAGAGCUUGUCGCGGCAGGAGCUGCUCUGCAGUGGUGGACCUGUCUGGCUGCGUUUGUUUUGACAAGGGUGUGCCUCAUUUGUGUGUUUCUUCUUUGGGGCUGGAUGUUAAUGGCUGGGGCUUGGGUAUCUAUUCACAGUA